UACAGAGGGUGCGAGCGUUAAUCGGAUUUACUGGGCGUAAAGCGUGUGUAGGUGGCUUCCUAAGUCGGUUGUGAAAUCCCUGGGCUCAACCUGGGAAUUGCAGUCGAUACUGGGAAGCUCGAGUUCGGUAGAGGACGGCGGAAUUCCCGGUGUAGCGGUGAAAUGCGUAGAUAUCGGGAGGAACAUCGAUGGCGAAAGCAACCGUCUGGGCCUGAACUGACAUUGAGACACGAAAGCGUGGGGAGCAAACAGG
rnacentral:rRNA from 1 species